rnacentral:sRNA from 1 species
UCCAUUGGCAGACCAUGGAAUUUGUUCCCAUGAGUCAUCGAGAUGAGACCACUCUUAAUCUUGAAGUUGUUAUUCUGGAUAGAAGGAGGUGCAAUAUCUUUCCUCUGACGGUGAUCUCGUGGUGCAUCUUCAGCACCAAUGUUGGCAGGGCCAUUCUAUUGAUUUUGUUCGUCAACCAUUUCGAGUGGUUGUUAGGGUAAAAGGUUGACUGUGUUUCUCCUUUCUCUGAGUUCGCGAGUUACGCGGUCGAAGUUGUCGUUGAAGAGGAGGUUCUGGUUGUCUGUUGAUCGAGUUUGCAUGCAGCAGAGUUGUACCUGGAUCAAGAAGACAACAAGAAAAACACACAGUUAGUAACUG